GGUUGGAUCAUUAAAAAAAAAAUUCAAUCUUUUUUCUUUUUUUAAUCUGGCGUAAUGCCGGAAAAAAAAGAAAAGAAACCCCAUUGUGAACAUGUAUUAUAGUCUCUGGUGUGGUUAAACGUAGGUUAUAGCUGCCAUCAUGUAACUUCAUCAUGUAGCUUCACCUAUGGGUUUUUUUAAACUCACCCACCGCUUAUAGUAAACUCUAAUAUUGAACCAAUAUUCGUCUAAAAAAUAAAGCAUUUAUGAAAUUAACAUAAAAAACAACUUUUGACAACGGAUCUCUUGGCUCUCGCAACGAUGAAGAACGCAGCGAAUUGCGAUAAGUAAUGUGAAUUGCAGAAUUCCGUGAAUCAUUAAAUCUUUGAACGCACAUUGCGCUCCUUUUGGAGCAUGUCUGUUUGAGAAUCAGUUUAAACCUCAACCACUAAUAGUGCUCUGGGUUUUUCUCUCCAUUUUUGGAAAAAAAUCCACAUUUGUUAGUGUAAAAGUUGUUGGACAUGGGUUUUCUCUUCUCCGUCAUAGGGGAACAAGUAACCUCAAAUAUAAAUUACUUGGCUUUCAGGAAAACCUUUUAAAGUUUUCCGGCGAUUUGUUUCAAUUCAAUCCUUUUCAACAUCGGAAAAAGAAUUUGGUGGAGCUGGAAAGCACGAUUAAUAGAGGUGUAACCCUCUUUCGUUUGCUGAUAAAAGUUCCUUAUUAAAAAAGCCUCAUUUCUAUGUAUGAUGGAGAAAAAAGAUGACGAGUUAUCGAAUCCGCUCAAGAAGCCAAAAAAAAGAAAAACACGAAUGGUUUAGCUUAUCCUUCAUAAGAUAAUAAGCCACCCAUUUAAGACUUGAUCUCAAAUCAAACAAGACUACCCGCUGAACUUAAGCAUAUUAAUAAGCGGAGGAAAAGAAACUAACAAGGAUUCCCCUAGUAACGGCGAGUGAAGCGGGAACAGCUCAAAUUUGAAAUCUCACUCUGGUGCGAAUUGUAGUUUAAAGAAGUAUUUUCGGAGGCAGGGCAGGUAAAAGUCCUUUGGAAAAAGGCAUCAUAGAGGGUGAGAAUCCCGUCUUUGAUCUGCCAUCGCGUCUCCAUGUGAUAUACCUUCAAAGAGUCGGGUUGUUUGGGAAUGCAGCCCAAAAUGGGUGGUAAAUACCAUCUAAAGCUAAAUAUUGGCGAGAGACCGAUAGCGAACAAGUACCGUGAGGGAAAGAUGAAAAGCACUUUGAAAAGAGAGUUAAAUAGUACGUGAAAUUGUCAAAAGGGAAACGCUUGAAACCAGUUUUGCUGGCAGGAACCCAACUGCUCCAACGGAGCAGCAUAUGUUUUUUGUCUUGGCAGGUCAACAUCAAUUUCCGAUUGGAGUAUAAAGCUUGUGGAAGGUGGCCCGCUUCGGGGGGUGUUAUAGCUACAAGUGAUGCUCUGGUGGGGAUUGAGGUCAGCAGCGUAGCCUUGGGGAACUGUUCGCCAAUCGAAAGUGAUGCCUAGACAACAAGUUGAUUAGGUGUGAGAUUGAGAUUGCACGGGCAGCGUACCACAUCUAUGCUUAGGAUGUUGACGAAAUGGUUUUAAACGACCCGUCUUGAAACACGGACCAAGGAGUCUAACACCUAUGCGAGUAUUUGGGAAACAAUGUAAGCCCGGAAUGCGGAAUGAAAGUGUUAAGGUGGGAUCUUCGGUGCACCAUCGACCGGUCUUGAAGUUUACGGAUAGAUCUGAGUAAGAGCAUACUUGUUAGGACCCGAAAGAUGGUGAACUAUGCCUGAAUAGGGUGAAGCCGGAGGAAACUCCGGUGGAGGCUCGUAGCGAUUCUGACGUGCAAAUCGAUCGUCAAAUUUGGGUAUAGGGGCGAAAGACUAAUCGAACUAUCUAGUAGCUGGUUCCCUC
rnacentral:misc_RNA from 1 species